rnacentral:lncRNA from 10 species
UCCUCAGAUGAUCACACCCACUUUGCUUCACUUUCAUGUCCAGAGCUGCUUAGACUGAUUUCUGCAAAGUGCACAGGCAUUUUCAUGCUGAGGAUAAAGGACCAUGAUCGCUUGUCUGGACCCAGAAAAUAUUUCCCAUUUGCUACACAGAUGCCGUCUCAUCCUUCCAGAGUUCAAGACUUCAGCAGAAAAAAAAAUCACCUCAUUAAAGGAAAAUUGUGCCUUAUCCCCACUACUCGAAGAUGCAACCAUCUGCCUGGUCACAGCCACUUUUUUCCUUUUUUUCUCACUCCAUCGUAUGUGUGUGUGGUGGGGCAGGGGAUAAGGGGAAUAAUCUCUCUCCAGUAUAAGAAGGGAUCAAGAAGCAACAGGACUGCGGGAUGGGAUAGAAAAUAAUUUUCAUCUUAGCAAUAUUGAGUAUUCCAGUACAUGAGUAUUGUAUGUUUCUCAAUUCACUUAGAUCCUUAAUUUCCCUUAGUCAUGUUUUGUGAUUUUCAGUAUACAAAUCUUGUACUCUGUAUUAAACCAUUCUUGCAUUGCUGUAAA